rnacentral:rRNA from 1 species
UACGUAGGGGGCAAGCGUUGUCCGGAAUCAUUGGGCGUAAAGAGCGCGCAGGCGGUCGUUUAAGUCGAAUGUGAAAGCCCCCGGCUCAACUGGGGAGGGUCAUUCGAUACUGAUCGACUUGAAGGCAGGAGAGAGAAGUGGAAUUCCCGGUGUAGUGGUGAAAUGCGUAGAUAUCGGGAGGAACACCAGUGGCGAAGGCGACUUCUUGGCCUGUUCUUGACGCUGAGGCGCGAAAGCUGGGGGAACAAACGGG